rnacentral:rRNA from 1 species
CGAACGCUGGCGGCAUGCCUAACACAUGCAAGUCGAACGCGACCUUCGGGUCUAGUGGCGCACGGGUGCGUAACGCGUGGGAACCUGCCCUUAGGUUCGGAAUAACUCCCCGAAAGGGGUGCUAAUACCGGAUAAUGUCUUCGAACCAAAGAUUUAUCGCCUUUGGAUGGGCCCGCGUUGGAUUAGCUAGUUGGUAGGGUAAAAGCCUACCAAGGCGACGAUCCAUAGCUGGUCUGAGAGGAUGAUCAGCCACACUGGGACUGAGACACGGCCCAGACUCCUACAGGAGGCAGCAGUGGGGGAUGUUGCACAAUGGGCGAAAGCCUGAUCCAGCAAUGCCGCGUGAGUGAUGAAGGCCUUAGGGUUGUAAAGCUCUUUUACCCGGGAUGAUAAUGACAGUACCGGGAGAAUAAGCGCCGGCUAACUCCGUG